rnacentral:lncRNA from 1 species
GGACUGUUCCUGUAUGCUUAUCCUUUUAUUUUCACUGCCUAUCAGAGUGCCUGCUACAUAUGGCACAGGUAGCACUUGGCUUUAUUGACACACUGCUGAAGAGGACACAACUUCCUGAAGAAAAAGAGAGGCUAAAGAGAGUUUGUAGAUAAAUACUGCUUUUCAAUCUGAAUAAAAUUGCAUGAAGACUUGGAACAUACAUACUUAAAGGAAGGCAAGUUUGAAAAUCUGGUUUGGGGAUUUAUGGUGGAUAUUUUUGCUUAACACUAUGUCAUACAACAGUAAUAAAAAAUAAAAAGGUGUUGUUUCAAUAAAAUU